rnacentral:rRNA from 1 species
UACGUAGGGUCCUAGCGUUGUCCGGAUUAUUGGGCGUAAAGAGCUCGUAGGCGGUCUGUCGCGUCUGCUGUGAAAACUCAGGGCUUAACCCUGAGCUUGCAGUGGGUACGGGCAGACUAGAGUGCGGUAGGGGAGACUGGAAUUCCUGGUGUAGCGGUGAAAUGCGCAGACUAUCAGGGAGGGAACACCGGUGGGCGAAGGCGGGUCUCUGGGCCGCAA